rnacentral:tRNA from 1 species
GCACUGGGGGCUCAGUGGUAGAAUUCUCACUUUUCAUGUGGGAGACCCGGGUUCGAUUCCAGGCCAAUGUA